rnacentral:tRNA from 1 species
GAUUUUGUAGUGAAACUGGUAUAAUGCAGGUUUUUUAACUAGUGAUGAAGGUUCGAGUCCUUCCAAAAUCA